rnacentral:tRNA from 1 species
GCUAGCGUAGCUUAACACAAAGCAUAACACUGAAGAUGUUAAGAUGGGUCCUA